rnacentral:rRNA from 1 species
CCUACGGGGUGCAGCAGUGGGGAAUAUUGGACAAUGGGCGAAAGCCUGAUCCAGCCAUGCCGCGUGUGUGAAGAAGGCCUUCGGGUUGUAAAGCACUUUCAGUGGGGAAGAAAGCCUUGGGGCUAAUAUCCUCGAGGAAGGACAUCACCCACAGAAGAAGCACCGGCUAACUCCGUGCCAGCAGCCGCGGUAAUACGGAGGGUGCGAGCGUUAAUCGGAAUUACUGGGCGUAAAGCGCGCGUAGGCGGUCUGAUAAGCCGGUUGUGAAAGCCCCGGGCUCAACCUGGGAACGGCAUCCGGAACUGUCAGGCUAGAGUGCAGGAGAGGAAGGUAGAAUUCCCGGUGUAGCGGUGAAAUGCGUAGAGAUCGGGAGGAAUACCAGUGGCGAAGGCGGCCUUCUGGACUGACACUGACGCUGAGGUGCGAAAGCGUGGGUAGCAAACAGGAUUAGAUACCCCGGUAGUC